ensembl:ncRNA W05E10.18 ncRNA
CACAAAAAAAUUCUGCAGUAGCAGAAGCCUCCUCAUGUCAGUUGGGACCAAGACAAAAGCAAUUCUUUAGGAGACAGAGGAUUGGAAAUAAAAGGAGAAAAAGGCGAGAAAGCGAAACAAUUGAAUUGGGCUCAUGUUCGCACUUUUC